rnacentral:rRNA from 1 species
GUGGGGAAUAUUGGACAAUGGGCGAAAGCCUGAUCCAGCAAUGCCGCGUGAGUGAUGAAGGCCUUAGGGUUGUAAAGCUCUUUUACCAGGGAUGAUAAUGACAGUACCUGGAGAAUAAGCUCCGGCUAACUCCGUGCCAGCAGCCGCGGUAAUACGGAGGGAGCUAGCGUUGUUCGGAAUUACUGGGCGUAAAGCGCACGUAGGCGGUUACUCAAGUCAGAGGUGAAAGCCCGGGGCUCAACCCCGGAACUGCCUUUGAAACUAGGUAACUAGAAUCUUGGAGAGGUCAGUGGAAUUCCGAGUGUAGAGGUGAAAUUCGUAGAUAUUCGGAAGAACACCAGUGGCGAAGGCGACUGACUGGACAAGUAUUGACGCUGAGGUGCGAAAGCGUGGGGAGCAAACAGGAUUAGAUACCCGAGUAGUCC